GUUUGUGAAUAUUGGACAGUGGGGUGCACUACAUUUUUUUCACAAGCUUGUUUAAAAUGCUCAAGGUUGCAGUUGCUGUUUUUGCCCUAGUAGCUGUGUGCUAUGCACAGCCACCAGAUCCUCCAAAGCCUCCAAUGAUCCCUGAGACACUCAUGGCUGAGAUUGAAGUUAACAUGGCAGAGAACGUUUGAUGGGAAAAGGUAAAUGGGAGCGUGACGAAAUGAAAAUGGCGGCAAUGAGGAGUGUCAUGUUCAAAGACUUGAAGGAUAAUGUUACGUUCACUGACAUGCAUCUGGAAAAGUUUGACACGAAAAUGGCCUACAAUGUUGAAAUGAACAGCACAGGCACCUACUGUAUGAAACAUGCUAUUAAACUACCAAGCAUGCCGAAAGUAUGGGAGUGGCUACAAAAGGCCACUGGAGACAGACACAUGGACCCCCGUUCUAAAUGGAAGUAGACCGAUGGACUCUUCGCCGGGCAAGUUACAGUGUAAAUAUUUGCAUGCUCAGUAAUAACUUUGUUUUAUUUCAGGAAGAUGGUAACGACCUCGUGCUUUUUGUGGCUGAUGAUAAGCCAAACGUUCCCUUAGUUUUGUUCAGUUUUGGAAAGCACGGUGCAGAGGAAGUGAGGUUUACUUCUUUCGUAGCCAUGGCCCCUCCUAGCAGUGACUUUGAUCCCCCUCCCUCAUGCGCAUAGAAAUGAACACAAAACUCUGUAGUUAUUUACCAUAAUUAUAUAGCAGUGAAAACACAAGCGUAUUAGACACCUUUUUGUUAAAUGUGUAAUGCGUGCAUAUUGAAGUGAAUUAAUAUUGAUGAAUAAUGAUACAA